AUUGAACGCUGGCGGCAGGCCUAACACAUGCAAGUCGAACGGUAACAGGAAGAAGCUUGCUUCUUUGCUGACGAGUGGCGGACGGGUGAGUAAUGUCUGGGAAACUGCCUGAUGGAGGGGGAUAACUACUGGAAACGGUAGCUAAUACCGCAUAACGUCGCAAGACCAAAGAGGGGGACCUUCGGGCCUCUUGCCAUCGGAUGUGCCCAGAUGGGAUUCGCUAGUAGGUGGGGUAACGGCUCACCUAGGCGACGAUCCCUAGCUGGUCUGAGAGGAUGACCAGCCACACUGGAACUGAGACAAGGUCCAAACUCCUACGGGAGGCAGCAGUGGGGAAUAUUGCACAAUGGGCGCAAGCCUGAUGCAGCCAUGCCGCGUGUAUGGAGAAGGCCUUCGGGUUGUAAAGUACUUGCAGCGGGGAGAAAGGGAGUAAGGUUAAUACCUUUGCUCAUUGACGUUACCCGCAGAAGAAGCACCGGCUAACUCCGUG
rnacentral:rRNA from 1 species